rnacentral:misc_RNA from 1 species
AUUUCCGAUUCUUGAUUUGAUCUUCGUUUAAUUUAAGCAAAACCCUAGUAUUUUCUAGCUGAAUUAUCGGGAAUUUGGGAGGAAUUGAAUCAACAAAAAUUCAAUUGAAGAUCAGUUAGUUAGAGAUGGCAAUAGCUGCACCAGAACAGCUUAAUCUUACGGAAGCUCCAACUUGGGGGUCUAGAACCGUUGAUUGCUUCGAGAAAUUGGAGCAGAUUGGUGAAGGCACUUAUGGUCAAGUGUACAUGGCAAAAGAAAUUAGAACAGGGGAAAUUGUUGCUUUGAAAAAGAUACGCAUGGACAACGAAAGAGAAGGGUUUCCGAUAACUGCUAUACGUGAGAUUAAAAUCUUAAAGAAGCUGCACCAUGAAAAUGUCAUUGACCUGAAAGAGAUUGUAACAUCUCCAGGUCGUGAGAAGGAUGACCAG